rnacentral:lncRNA from 1 species
UUUUUUUAAAAAAAGAUUUUAUUUAUUUAUUCAUGAGAGACACAGAGAGAGGCAGAAACACAGGCAGAGGGAGAAGCAGGCUCCCUGCAGGGAGCCCGAUGUGGGACUUGAUCCCAGAACCCUGGGAUCACGCCCUGAGCCAAAGGCAGACGCUCAACUACUGAGCCACCCAGGUUCCCCUUGAAGUGGUAAAAUUCUUAUAACCAUAAGAAUUGUCUAAAACUGAUAUAUCGAGUAAGAGCAGCAUAAACCCAUUAUUUAGAAAUAGAGAGAGGUGCCUGGGUGGCUCAAUAAGUUAAAGUCCAACUCUUGAUUUUGGCUCAGGUCAUGUUCGCAGGGUCCUACGAUCUCCCCCUAUGGGGCUCCACACUUAGCACAGAGUCUGCUUGGGAUUCUGUCUCCCUCUCUCUCUCUGCCCCUCCCCCAGCUUGUGCUCUCUCUCUCUCUCUAUCUGUCUCUCUCUCAAAUAAAUAACAUCUUUUAAAAAAGAGAUAUAGAAAUAAAUGUGAGAAAAAAAAUGGAAAUUGGUUACUUCCAAGAAGUAGGACUGGUGGAUAGAAAAGAUAGGGAAAAAUAGCCUGCUAUUUUUCAAUAAAAGCUUUCUAGUACCCUAAUUUUUUUUAGCUAUGUGUAAUAGAACUGCAAUAUUUUAAAAUUUAAUUAUACCAUAGGAAAAUUUUGCCAUUGGCUCCAAUAGCAUUCUCUCUACCUCUUAUCUCUGUAAUGCCAUGCAUGUUGUCCCUAACUCUGACUUUCCUUAUAGCACCCCUCCUAAUUCAACUUAUAUCCCCUGUCAAGUUCUGCCCCUGGGGUGGGAUUGCAUGGAAUGAUGUGUGCAAUAUUGCAUAUACCAGGUCAACUGUAUUUCCUUUUUGCAUUUUAUUUACAAUUUAUACUAUCUCAAACCACGAUAAAAUGCUGUAUCAAUGAUUGAAAGCAUUUAAUUGAUAACUAAGUUGAGAAAGGAAACAUUUUGGGGAUUAAGGAUACCUUUCCAGUCCUGGUGGUCUCUAAAUAUGUAGGUGGUUGUAUAUUUACAUUUUUGUCUUGGGGAGGGCUUUCCUUUGAACCAGCCCAAGCACCUGGAAUGUCUCAUACACUCAUCAGGAAACUUAACUUGCCAUCUGUUUUGCAGUAAUACUGGGGAGGACAUUACUGAUGAACACUCUGGCAGCCCCGAUUCCCAAAUACUUUUCACUUAAGAAACAUUAAACAUUUUGAAACAGAUUCUUGGAGAAGAGCACAACAGCCUCUCUGGCAGCUUUCAUGGUAUUCCUCAAUGGUUAUUUUUGUUCCUCCAUCUAAAAACAACAGCACAGAGGGAGGAGGAGAACACAUGGCCUCCUCAUGGGGCCAGAACUCUACUUUAAAAUUGCCAAAAAGAUCUAGCAACAGCUGUGUCCAUUGGAAGACAACAUCAACUUGUGCCACCUGCCCAGACUCACCAAAUAAUGAGGGGUCAAGUGACACCAGCCUCUCAAAUGGUGACUUGGAUUAUUUUUAAGGAAAUGACUGAGAUGAUCUUUCUUCCCCUUUUCCCUCUCUCUAUAGAGACAGGGGCAUUUGGGUAUAUAUAUAUAUAUAUAUAUAUAUAUAUAUAUAUAUAUGUAUAUAUAUCCAACUUAAAACUCAGUCCUGAGAAUUCUAGGAAAAAGAAUAUGGCAGUGGCAUCUUGAAAAGCAAUCCCAUUGGAAGGAUCAUGGAUGACUGAGACAGCUAGCAUGUCAACCUGCCCAGAUGAGGCAUAGCUAAUGGAAUUGGUACUAGGAUGGAAAUCGGGACAGUUGGUUCAUGAUUCUGCUUUGCACUCAUCUUGUAACUUAAUGUGGUGCCAUCCCCAUCUCCACAGCCCCCCAUUUCCUCAACUGAGUGACAGGGACAACACUGACUGCUCCAUCUCCCUCCUAGAUGAUCUGCAAGUUACAUGGCAUGUGAAAGAGCUUUAUUUAGAGCAUAAGGUCUUAUAUGAGUGAGAUCAUCAAAAAAGAGUUUUUAAUAUCAUUUUUGAGAUUGGUAAAGGUUUAUCUCUUGGACUAAGAACAGACCCCAGAUUUCAAAUUCUCUCAUGUAAUGCAAAGAAGGGCAAUUAGCCAGCAGCCUCCAUGACUCAUAGCCUGGCUGCCUCCAAACUCAGGCCUCACAAUUUCUGUCCCUCAGGGAGAAACUGAGCCCCCUCCCACCUCCCAGCCCCAUCAAUACAGCAUCUUAUCCUUUAUUCCCUUUCCUGUCAAUUCAGAUGAUGGAAGGGCCAGGGAAGCAGCAUAAAUGAAUGAACCAGCCUAGGCAUGGAGACAUGCGGCUACCCACAGACAACCCAUGCUACUGAAGGGGUCACCAUUACUCAGCUCCUGAAGUUUUGAGUCCUCCAGUCUUUUAAGAGAAGAUGGAAAUCUGAUGUUACAAGUAGUCUUGGACUGUCGAAAGGUUAACCAAUAAUUUUAAAUGUUUGAAACAUCACGGGGCCAAACCGGAAAUAUUUACACACGCACUGAAGGUCUGCAAUAUCUGAUAGAGGCUAACCCCUGCAUCUUGACAAGCAAAAAUGCUCAAGCCCUAAGAAACAGCACAGUAGAGUUUGAAGACUCUGUCCUCUCUCAUCUGCAGCUAAUUUACUGUAUGACUUCGAGGAAGCCUCUUACCCUUUUAAAAUCCCAGGGUCCUCAACUAUGAAAGGGGAUAAUUAUAUAUUCUUCAUAAAAUUUUUAGAGGAAAUAAAUAAGAUCAUAGAUAAUACAUAAAAAUCACCAGGUGCAUAAAUAGGUGCUUGAUAAGCAUCUCCUUUUCCCUUGCGGCCAGCAAGUUGAUAAAACUGCAGAAAUCCAUAAACGUUUAUCUCCUGAAGCCAGCUGGGUUCUUUCCCCCACUGUAUUCCCCACUGCUUCCUUGCCUCUAUAGUUCCCAUUUGCAGAGCCUGGGGUGUGAUUUACCUUGGAACCAGCCUGAGCACAGGACUGGGACAUGAGACACCUGCUCUCUGAUUUACCUCAUUUCCUGGGAAAAAGAACCACCACCAUCCUCUACAAGUCUCAUUUUUCUUCUCUGGAACACAAUUGCCAACCAAUUGUUGUGAAAUGAGACAACAAAUCUGUUACAUUGCCCCAAGUCAUAGUAGAUCCAUCCGUGAAACCCAGAAUGCCCACGAGUCUGGGAUCAGCCUCUAACUUGACAUUCCAAGGCCUAAGGAAUGUGUUUUUUAAAGUAGGCCGUUAUUAUUAUUCAGAUAUGGUGAGGCUGGCAGAUUGCCAAGAGACAAUUGCUGAUGAAAAGAGUUUGUUACACACAGGUCCCAAGAGGAGGACUCACACCCUGCCAUAGUGGCCACAGAAGGAAGCACUGUAGUCGGUCAGGAGGCAGUGGAAGGAAGGAAAAGUCAGCAAGAAGGUUUAUUGUAGUUUCCACAGGAAGGAAAGAGCAAGACAAGGUAAGCAAGUUUAGGAUUGGCUAGUUUGAAUAAUCUCAAGGGGGAUCUCUAGGUGUAGGGACUGUCUCUAGUUGUCUGGUACUGGGCCCUGGGGUGGCUGGGGUAUGGGUUCUGGAUUGGUUGGUUUGCAUAUGAAAGUUGUGCUUGUAGGCAAGUCCUUUAAGGUCUCUAGGAACUGGCUAGCCCAGGGCAGUCCCUCCUGGGUCUGCAAAGCCCCAGAUGCAAAGCAUUAGGAAUACAGAAAAUACAAAGGCACGAUUAAUACAGAGAAAUCUGUAUCUGCCCCUUCCACCGGACAGACAUCAGCAUGUCCAGAAGGAGCCUUCCAUAAUAGGCUCCCAAUAAGAAAAAAAGAGGAAAAAUGUGUUCCUAAAAGCUUUUACAGGGAGAGGCCCCUUGUGUAUGAAUAGAAGGUCAAGGUGCUCAGAGAGGAAAGGCAGCAGACUAAUGCACCCUUGAGCCCAAAGCAGGGAUAGGCAUGCUGCUUUAAAAAAAGAAAAAGAGAAAAAGAAAAGAAAAAGGUAGGUUUUUUUGCAGGUAAGCACUGUCCAUGACCUUCAUCUCUUAACAUCCUGGGUUCUCUUUUUGAGGCUAAAUGAAGCCACACUCUGUCUGAGUGGAGAAAAUUAAAUUUGAACGCUGAAAUUGCAAUGGAAUGAUGAUGAUUCUGCUUGAGUGCGUUGACCUUUAUCAACCAUUUCAUUAGAAUUUCUGGAGCACGACACUGGGCUAGGCAUCCCCUGCAACUGUCCAUCUGAAGAAGGAGACUUCUCUCCUGGCUCAAGCCCAGAUCAUCAUUCCCCAGCAUCCGAGACGGGGGAAGCAGAAUCAAAUUCGAAGAAUUCCGUAAUCUAGUUAGUGAAUAGUUGUAGUAGACAAUGAACACAGCAGUCGGGCGGCAAAAAUCUCUAGAGAAUGCUGUUUCUCUUCCUGUGACUGAAAAAACAAUUAGGUUUCUCAAUAUUCCUCCAGCGAAGGCUUGGAUUUCAGGGCUAAGAUAUCAGACAAACUGCCGGUUGGAGGUUCGUCUGUCAGUUCAACUAGAUAAUCAGAAAAGAAUGGUUAGGUACACAUGUAUAAAAGCCGUGCUCAUAAGAAAAGCAAAAUGCUUUUAGAACCAUAUGACCAGGAUUUUAAAGACGGGACCACAUUUUACUAUUUAAGAAAAAAAUAUUUUUAUUUGCAAGAAAUGGAAAUACAAAAGCGUAACAAUUUCAAUUCAUUUUUUUCCCAAACUAAGUACAAGUAUCCUACAAAGCCUUUUUUUUUUUUUUUUUUAAAUUUUUGGUAUUUCCUUAGCUAUAAUAAAAAAUAAAAAGCCAUUAAAAAAAAAAAA